CCUGGUCAUCUCCAGGGCUUGAUGGCAGCGGCCGCGACUCAGCGCUCACCCGGCCCCAUGCUCCGGCCAAGCCCUCGGAGCCUCCCUGGCUCGGAGAGCCCUAGCAAGGCUUCCUGACCUACUCCGGACGGCAGCCGCGGGGUCCUCUGAGCGCGCCCCAGCACCCUGUCCGCAGCCCAGCUCCGGGCUGGUGUGUGAGGGCGAGUGCGUGUGUGUGAGAGUGAGUGUGGGAGCGCGCGCGCGCGUGUGGCCGGGGAUCCCCGCGGUCCCCGGCCGAGAGAGACGCGGGCGAGGGAAGGCAGCUCCCUCCGGCCCUAGGCUGCGGGGCCAGCUCCGCUCUGCGCGUUCGGCUCCCCACUUCCCGGCGGGAGUCCGGAGAGUGCCUGUUUCAGUCUGGCAAAGCCGGGUUCCCGGGAGUGCUUCUGCUGCUGUCGCCUCCAAGGAAGAGGAGGAGGAAGGCAGGGGCAGGGCGGACAUCCAGGAAAAUCCGAAGCCUAUCGUGGAGGGAGAGCUCAGGUGAGCCUCCUGAAGACAGAAUAUGAAAUCCAGACGUAAAGUCAAGUGCAUCAGGAAAAGGACACAAUUUAAAAUGUCCUGCCCCUCUCUCUCUCUUUUUAAAGAUUUAUGUAUUUAUUUUGAAAGACUUCCAGAGAGAGAGUGAGAAACAGAGAGAGACAGAGAGAAAGAUCUUCCAUCCACUGGUUCACUCCCCAGAUGGCUGCAAUGGUCAGCACUGGGCUCGGCCAAAGCCAGGGGCCAGGAGCUUCUUCCAGGUCUCUCACAUGAGUGCAGGGACCCAAAAACUUGGGCCAUCUCCCACUGCUUUUCCCAGGUCAUUAGCAGAGAGCUGGGUUGGAAGUGGAGCAGCCGGGACUCAAACUGGCACCCAUGUAGAAUGCCAGCACUGCAGGCGGUGGCUUUCCCCUCUGUGCCACAGUGCUCCCCAACCCCUGACACCUUUAUCAUACAGAUCACACCUUCUGACCUUCCGGUUUCCAAAAACACACUCUGUGUGUGUACUGUAGCCCCCACCCCCUUUUCCACGAGUUUGCUUUCUGCAGUUUCAGCUACCUGCAGUCAACCAUGGUGCAAAAUACAGGGAAACGUCAGAAAU
rnacentral:lncRNA from 1 species